UUGGCGGAAUGGUUUCAAUCGGCCCGUCUAGGAACACGGACCAAGGAGUCUAACAUGUGUGCGAGUCGGUGGGUGACAAACCCACGAGGCGCAAGUAACCUGACUGAGCAAAUUCGACCGACCAUGAUCUUCUGUGAAAGGUUUGAGUGCGAGCAUACAUGCUGGGACCCGAAAGAUGGUGAACUAUGCCUGAGCAGGGCGAAGUCAGAGGAAACUCUGAUGGAGGCUCGUAGCGAUACUGACGUGCAAAUCGUUCGUCGGAUUUGGGUAUAGGGGCGAAAGACUAAUCGAACCAUCGAGUAGCUGGUUCCCUCCGAAAUUUCCCUUAGGAUAGCUGCAACUUGUACAGUUUUAUCAGGUAAAGCGAAUGAUUAGAGGAAUUGGGGACAGGUUUGUCCUUGACCUAUUCUCAAACUUUAAAUGGGUAAGAACCCCCUGUUGCUUAAUUGAACAGGGUGGUCGAAUAGCUGGUUGCUAGUGGGCCAAUCUGGGUAAGCUAGAUUGGCGAUGCGGGAUGAACCGAACGUCGAGAUAAAGUGCCAAAGUAUCCGCUAACCUAG
rnacentral:rRNA from 1 species